UGUUAUAAUAUAACGGUUUGACUGAUACAACACACCAGUUGGAGCCACAUAACGUGUUUGACGGAUAACAUGCACGUUAAAGUUAACGUAAGUGCUACAGCACAGGGCUGAUUGUUUUGAUUGACUAUGUCAUUUGUCAUAUGACAUUGUCAUUUAUCGUAUUUUGUUAUAUUCAGUAGUGGUUUUGUGCAAUUUCUUAAAACAAUGGUUAACAAACUUGGUUUGGUUUGUGCAGUAUACGGUUGUAAUAAUUAUAAACAACAGAAAGGGGAAACAAAAUUAUUUUUCAGGAUGCCAAAAGAUGCUAAUCUACUAAAAUAAUGGAUAAUUGCUAGCAAACGGAAGGAUUUAGAUCUGGUAUUAAAAUCGGAAAAUAGCGAUUACUUUUACCAAACAUACGUAGUAUGUUCGGAUCAUUUUGAUACAAGUUGCUUCUACAAUAAAAAUUUGUUUAGUCAAGGUUUGCUUCCUGGAUCUAUACCAACGCAAAAGUUAUUUAAUCAAAAAAACGCAAAACGUAUGAUACGAGAAGCAAUUACUGACCACAAUAUUA